GACGAACGCUGGCGGCGUGCUUAACACAUGCAAGUCGAGCGGAGCGGCCAACGGGCGAGUAACGCGUGAGUAACUGCCCCCCUCCCUGGGAUAACAGAUGGAAACGGCUGCUGAUAGCGGAUAGUGGGGGAUGAAUCGGGACCUAUUAGGUUGUUGGUGGGGUAGGGGGCUACCAAGGCGACGACGGGUAGCCGGCCUGGGAGGGCGACCGGCCAAAAUGGGACGGGGUAAGGCCCAGACUCCUACGGGAGGGAGCAGAGGGGAAUAUCGGAAAAUGGGGGAAAGCUGGACGAACAACGGCGCGGGAGAGAAAGAGGGUUUCGGGUCGGAAAGGGGAGAACGAGUGUGAGAUUGGAAAGUGCAUGCAGUGACGGUACUUGAAGAGGAAGGACCGGCUAACUACGUGCCAGCAGCCGCGGUAAUAC
rnacentral:rRNA from 1 species